rnacentral:rRNA from 1 species
GACGAACGCUGGCGGCGUGCUUAACACAUGCAAGUCGAACGAGACGAUUGAAAGCUUGCUUUUAAAAGUCGAGUGGCAAACGGGUGAGUAACGCGUAGACAACCUGCCUUUGAGAUGGGGACAACAGUUCGAAAGGACUGCUAAUACCGAAUGUUGUAUAUUUUCCACAUGGAAGAUAUAUUAAAGAUGGCCUCUAUUUAUAAGCUAUCGCUCAAAGAUGGGUCUGCGUCUGAUUAGCUAGUUGGUGGGGUAACGGCCUACCAAGACGACGAUCAGUAGCCGGUCUGAGAGGAUGAACGGCCACAUUGGGACUGAGACACGGCCCAGACUCCUACGGGAGGCAGCAGUGGGGAAUCUUCCACAAUGGACGAAAGUCUGAUGGAGCAACGCCGCGUGAGUGAAGAAGGGUUUCGGCUCGUAAAGCUCUGUUGUCGGGGACGAAUGUGCAGUAUUUGAAUAAAGUAUUGCAAUGACGGUACCUGACGAGGAAGCCACGGCUAACUACGUGCCAGCCGCCGCGGUAA